rnacentral:rRNA from 1 species
AUACGGAGGAUGCGAGCGUUAUCCGGAUUUAUUGGGUUUAAAGGGAGCGUAGGUGGGAUAUUAAGUCAGCUGUGAAAGUUUGGGGCUCAACCUUAAAAUUGCAGUUGAUACUGGUUUCCUUGAGUACGGUACAGGUGGGCGGAAUUCGUGGUGUAGCGGUGAAAUGCCUAGAUAUCACGAAGAACUCCGAUCGCGAAGGCAGCUCACCGGGCCGGAACUGACACUGAUGCUCGAAAGUGCGGGUAUCAAACAGGAUUAGAUACCCUGGUAGUCCGCACAGUAAACGAUGAAUACUCGCUGUUUGCGAUACACGGUAAGCGGCAAAGCGAAAGCGUUAAGUAUUCCACCUGGGGAGUACGCCGGCAACGGUGAAACUCAAAUGAAUUGACGGGG